rnacentral:rRNA from 1 species
GUGAGGAAUAUUGGUCAAUGGACGCAAGUCUGAACCAGCCAUGCCGCGUGCAGGAAGACGGCUCUAUGAGUUGUAAACUGCUUUUGUACGAGGGUAACAGCAUCUACGCGUAGGUGCAUGAAAGUAUCGUACGAAUAAGGAUCGGCUAACUCCGUGCCAGCAGCCGCGGUAAUACGGAGGAUCCAAGCGUUAUCCGGAUUUAUUGGGUUUAAAGGGUGCGUAGGCGGUUUUAUAAGUUAGAGGUUAAAUAUCGGAGCUUAACUCCGUUAUGCCUCUAAUACUGUAGGACUAGAGAAUAGUUGCGGUAGGCGGAAUGUAUGGUGUAGCGGUGAAAUGCUUAGAGAUCAUACAGAACACCGAUUGCGAAGGCAGCUUACCAAACUAUGACUGACGUUGAGGCACGAAAGCGUGGGGAGCAAACAGGA